rnacentral:lncRNA from 1 species
GAGGGGGCGCUGCAGGGCGGCCGGACGAUGCCCACGUCAGGCCGCGGGCGCGAGAAAGCCUUCAGCCACACUCGCCGAUCCAAGGGAUGGCCAAGGAUCUGCCCCUGCCCAGGCCCACGCCCAGCCUGGGGGAAUCAUUGAGAGGGAAGGCUCGGCUUCCCCCGUCACCUCGUCCACCCUGAGCCACGUCCACCGCGCUGGGGUUGGCCCUCCCGCACACUCUGGUGGUUUCCUGUCUGCGAGAGAGCACGGGAAGAGAAUAUUGUGGCUGCAGUUCUUGAAAACCCUGCCUCAUACUGUGGCUUUGGGAAGACAGAGAAGCUGACUGCAGGAGCUCCACCUGCACUUCCUGCUCCAGAUGCUCCCUCCAUGGAGACCCCUGGAAUAAACCAGAGUGGGGCCCCAAAUGCCAAGGAACUUCUUGCCAUCACCCAUUUCUGAUGGCUAUUGCCAGCCCCAGCAGGAAGAGGAGAAGCUGGACUGAAGGUGGUAAAGAAGCCCAGAAGAGGCUGCAGUCUCUGCAAAAGCACUGAGAUGCAAAGGCCCCACUCCUCUGAGUAGGCUGGUUUUGAACUUCUGGCUUCAGG